GUGCUAGCUUGGGCUGCACAUAUACUAAAAGUGUAACAAAAUAGAGAAGAUUAGCAUGACCCCUGCUCAAGGAUGACACACACAUUUGUGAAGCCAUCUUCAUUUGG